rnacentral:rRNA from 1 species
GAUGAACGCUGGCGGCGUGCCUAAUACAUGCAAGUCGAGCGAAUGGAUUAAGAGCUUGCUCUUAUGAAGUUAGCGGCGGACGGGUGAGUAACACGUGGGUAACCUGCCCAUAAGACUGGGAUAACUCCGGGAAACCGGGGCUAAUACCGGAUAACAUUUUGAACCGCAUGGUUCGAAAUUGAAAGGCGGCUUCGGCUGUCACUUAUGUAUGGACCCGCGUCGCAUUAGCUAGUUGGUUAGGUAACGGCUCACCAAGGCAACGAUGCGUAGCCGACCUGAGAGGGUGAUCGGCCACACUGGGACUGAGACACGGCCCAGACUCCUACGGGAGGCAGCAGUAGGGAAUCUUCCGCAAUGGACGAAAGUCUGACGGAGCAACGCCGCGUGAGUGAUGAAGGCUUUCGGGUCGUAAAACUCUGUUGUUAGGGAAGAACAAGCGCUAGUUGAAUAAGCUGGCACCUUGACGGUACCUAACCAGAAAGCCACGGCUAACUACGUGCCAGCCGCCGCGGUAA